rnacentral:rRNA from 1 species
AGAGUUUGAUCAUGGCUCAGAUUGAACGCUGGCGGCAUGCCUUACACAUGCAAGUCGAACGGUAACGCGGGGCAACCUGGCGACGAGUGGCGAACGGGUGAGUAAUGCAUCGGAACGUGCCCAGUAGUGGGGGAUAGCCCGGCGAAAGCCGGAUUAAUACCGCAUACGGCCUACGGGUGAAAGGGGGGGAUCGCAAGACCUCUCGCUAUUGGAGCGGCCGAUGUCAGAUUAGGUAGUUGGUGGGGUAAAGGCCUACCAAGCCGACGAUCUGUAGCUGGUCUGAGAGGACGACCAGCCACACUGGGACUGAGACACGGCCCAGACUCCUACGGGAGGCAGCAGUGGGGAAUUUUGGACAAUGGGCGCAAGCCUGAUCCAGCCAUGCCGCGUGCGGGAAGAAGGCCUUCGGGUUGUAAACCGCUUUUGUCAGGGAAGAAAUCUUCUGAGUUAAUACCUCGGGAGGAUGACGGUACCUGAAGAAUAAGCACC